UAAUUCUAUUGUAUAAAUGUGUGUUUUCUUUUUCUUAUUUUAUUUUUCUUUUUUUUUUAAAAAAAAAAAAAAAACUGUUUUAUUAUAAUAAUUUCCAAUAUAGAAAAAAGUCUAUAUGAUUAUAAAAAAAAAAAUAAAACAUAUGAUUUUUUUUUUUUUUUUAAUAUUUAACAAUUCAUUAUGUAACAAUUCAUUAUGUAACAAUUGAUUAUUUAACAAUUGAUUAUUUAACAAUUGAUUACUUAACAGUUGAUUACUUAACAAUUGAUUACUUAACAAUAAGUAUUGUUUGGUAUGUUACAGAAAAACAAAAGAAAUCUUUUUGAAAAAAGCAAUUGUAAAGUUACAAAAUAUUUAUAUUUUACAAUUUUCUUUUAAAUAAAUAUAUAAAUAUAUAUGAAUUGUUUUUUUUUUUUUUUUUUUUUUUUUUUUUUACCCUUUAAACCAGUCAAAAUGUCAAGAAGAACUAAAAAGGUCGGAUUAACAGGAAAGUACGGUACUAGGUACGGUUCCUCUCUUCGUAAACAAAUGAAAAAAAUCGAAUUAAUGCAACAUGCGAAAUACUUAUGUUCCUUUUGUGGAAAAGUAACUAAUUAAAAAAAAAAAUAAUAAAUAAACUUUAAUUGGCA
rnacentral:lncRNA from 1 species